rnacentral:tRNA from 1 species
GGGUCCAUAGCUCAGCGGCAGAGCACUCGGCUCAUAACCGAAUGGUCGCAGGUUCGAUCCCUGCUGGACCCA